AAGUCGUAACAAGGUUUCCGUAGGUGAACCUGCGGAAGGAUCAUUCCCAUUUUUUAGCUUAAAAAAACUCAAAACUCUUAUGUGAACCCAAAACCCUUUUUUUUUUUUUUAUCCUUGACCCAAUUGGAAACCCAAAUACCGAACCAAAAAUACCAACCGAAAACAAAAAAUCAAAAACUGAAGAUAUAGUGUGUGUGGGGAGAUAAUCCUUAUGUGUACUAAUUGACCAACUAAUUGUAAAAAAGUACAACUCUUAACAAUGAAUAUCUCGGCUCUUGC
rnacentral:misc_RNA from 1 species